UCUCAUAGAUACCAAACAUAAUAAUGCAAAUAAAGUAUGGGGAAGUAUUUAUAUCAUAUGUAAACAAUAUAUAAGGAAAAUGUACCAAAGAAAUAAGCAUAUAUACCUGAAGCAAGCUAAGGGAGGGCCAUGCAUAAAUUGUUGGCCAGGCGCAGUCGCUCACGCCUGUAAUCCCAGCACUUUGGGAGGCUGAGGCAAAAGGAUAGCUUGAGCCCAGGGUUUCAAGACCAGCUUGGGCAAUGUACUAAGACCCCGCCUCUACUUUUAAAAAUAAAUGAAUAAAUUGUGUGGCUGGGUUUUCUGAUCACUCAAGCAGUAUGUGAGUGUGUGUGUGUGCGCAUGAGCACGCACAGGGGUGAACUAGCUUGAUUUUUGAAAAAUGGACCCAUAAAUUGUUUUGCUAAAAAUAUCAGCAAGUCCUUAUUUGGGAGUAGUGAAGAGGGGCUGGGUGAAUGCUUGCCAACAUGCCGCAGGAGGAAGAUAAAUUAUCUUUUUACUUUCCACGUUUUCGAGUGAAGAGCAUAGUGAGGUGGGAAUUAGAGAUAAUAGAAUUUCAAAAGCAUAUUAAUUUUUUUCAUUAUGCUUUGCCUUGCUUGAAAAAUUAUUGCUAGCAGCUUUUAGAGUUCUAUGUAGCACAGCUCCCUCAAACAUUAAGGAGGCCAUUGGUGCAAACCGAAAAUACAAAUAAGACAGUAAGGUGAAGCCAGGGGUAAGGAUGAUAUCAAAGGAUGUGUCGUCAAGUCCUGCACAGUUGUCAGAGGUGGACUUCACACAAGGCAUUUCUCUCAUGGGCCCUCAUUAUGUGAUUUAGUCUCAACGAAACCCCUACAGUGAAUUUAGUAAUGGGUGGCCUAUGGCUUCUUUCUUUCUUUUUUAUUUUUUUAUUUUUUGUGAUGAAGUCUCGCUCUGUCGCCCAGGCUGGAGUGCAGUGGCGCUAUCUCGGCUUACUGCAACCUCCACCUCCCAGGUUCAAGCGAUUCUCCUGCCUCAGCCUCCUGAGUCCUGGGAUUACAGGCAUGUGACACCACACCCAGCUAAUUUUUAUAUUUUUAGUAGAGACAGGGUUUCACCGUGUUAGUCAGGCUGGUCUUGAACUGCUGACCUCGUGAUCUGCCCGCCUUGGCCUCCCAAAGUACUGGGAUUACCAGGUGUGAGCCACCACACCUGGCCGGUUUAUAUCUUUUUACUUUUCUUUUUUUUUUUUUUUUUUUUGAGACGGAGUCUUGCUCUGACACCCAGGCUGGAGUGCAGUGGCGCAGUCUCAGCUCACUGCAACUCUGCCUCCCAAGUUCAAGCGAUUCUCCUGCCUCAGCCUCCCAAGUAGCUGGGAUUACCAUCACCUAUUGAAUGGAGAGAGGUGGGGACAGACUCAUGGAAAGCAAUGAAGCUCUCAGCUUCCAGUUCUGGGUUUUCAUCCUCCUCUUGCCUCAACCUCAAGUUCUUCCCAGCUCAAGAACUGGGGGCCGCCCUUGAUAAAGCUUUAUCUGGCCCCUGAUGUAUUCUCAUCUCCCCAGCUACCUUGGCCUAGAUCUGCAGAAAUCCCUUUCCUUUUCCUUCUGUAAAGCAAAAGCUGAAAAUUUUCAAAAAUAACAUGACCAGAGAACAAAACAAAAUCAAGUACAGAGAAAACACUGUAGCAUGAAAACAAACAUGUAUGGAUUUUUCAUGAAUUUCAAAACAGAUUUUACAAC
rnacentral:lncRNA from 1 species